rnacentral:lncRNA from 1 species
UUACUUUUUAAUUGUGUAACGCAGGCUUGGUAACUACAGGAGUUUCCGUUAUUUGAAAAGCCCUUGUUUAAACCUCUUUUCUCUCUCUCUAAACUCUAAAAAAAUGGGGAAUCCGCAACAAGUAUCUAGCCGUCCUUGGAUCCUCGAAUUGGUUCCUCUUAUGGUCGUCAUUCUUACAGUCGCUCACGUUCUCGCACUGGUAAUGCCCCUUUGAAAUUUUGCCUCUCUCUAAUAAUAUCUUCUUGUCAUUUUAAUUACUACUUACUUCAGAUCUCUCAUAUUGUCUCUGUUCUUCUUUUAAAUGUACAAUAGGUUUACUGGAUUUACAGGUUAGCUACUGAGAGACAGCCUCAAAGGAGAAAGAAGCACUAGCAGUAGCUAAAUUUACUAAUACCCAGAAGGUAUAACCUAAUUUGUUUAUUUCCUGGUCAUUAUUUUAUGGCAUAUGCAAAAUUGUAAAAGCUUCUAUUAUUAUUUGGAAUUUUUAAAGAGUUUUAACUCGUAAAAUCUGAGAGAAAUGAAAUGAAGUGUAAAAUAGUUGAACAAAAAUUUGAAAGAUUUGUCGUGGUGGUAAUUUUUUGCAAUAUACUACCCGGUGUUCCAAAAUAUAAGAUCAUUUAACAUUUUAAAGUAACUUAAGACAUUUUCAACCUCAAAACUACCUAGUGUAAUUUCAUAAUUUUUAAUGAAUCAAAAAACCUCGAAUGAAUCUAAUUCAUUAUACAAAUGGAUCUGCUGGUUCACCAAUCAUUGAUCUCAAUUUUGAGUUUGAAAAUGUCUCAAAUUGAAUUUUAAAAGUCAACAAUGACCUUAUAAUUUGGAAUGGGGGGAGUACUUAAUAUUAGGUUAUGUUAAAGUGUAUAUUUAGUUGGUUAUUUUUUAUAUACUUGGCAUUUAUUUUCUCUUUUUCCUUUCAAACAACAUUUAUUUAAGUUUCAAAUAAAAAAAUUGUUAAACACAUAGAAAGUUAAAUUCACUUGAAAUAACCUGAAAUACAUAAUAGUAGAAGGAGAAAAGCCCUGAUUAUGUCCUUCAAAGCAAUAUUGACUAUUAAUUUACUAAUACCAAGAAUGUAAAACACUAAUACAUGGAUUUUCUCUAUUAUUAUUACUAUUGCACGGGCUAGUUUGAAUAAUGGAUUGUAUAAUUUAUUAACACGGUCGUCCUCAAAAUUGAUUACAAAUGCUAUCAAACUCCACGCAAUCCAUUUUACAUCCUGAAAUGUAAACACCACAUAAAAACACAAUAUCAUAUCUUCCAAAGAUUUAUGUUGUCUUUGUUCUGGUGGUCUUUAUUUGGAUUUGCUUCCUUAGAAUUGAGUUAUUCAUCCCUAUGAAAUAAAACAGUGCACCAAAGAGUGCAAGACAAAUAUAUCAGAAGAUAUGAGACUACCAAAUAUAAAUAGCAAGAUCCCCAGAAUUUGAUACUACUGGGAAAGUCUUUGUCAAAUAAAAGAAUUUGAAUAACACUUACCUACUCACUUGCACUUUAUUUGAGGGCUAAAAUGGAAGUUGUAGAUCCUUGUUAGAUGAAAACUAAUGGAUCUUCUUUCGCCAUAAGAGUUACUGUACUGAAACCAUUUGUUUCUAUAGGUUAUCUAUCUAUAUAUAACUCCCUUAGUUCCAUUUUAUUGCCCUAUCCUUGGAGGCCCAAUACAUGAAUUUCUUCUUUUGCCUGCAGAUAAUAAAACUGUCAAACUGAGCAAUCAUAAUUAAAACCAUGUUACCAUUAUUACAUUGGCAAGCACAAUCCUCAUGGAUCUCACAACCCACAUUCUUAAGUGUUAAAAGCAUUAGAUAUGAAAUUUUAAUUAAUUCCAGAACAAAUUUGGCACACCCAAGACAACAACAUCCACCAUUACAACAUACUAACAUCUUCAAUCUCCCAGAUUAAUGUCUAGACAAUAUACCACAUUUUCUAAUAAAAGGAGAACCGUAGAAAAAUAUAAUGACCCUGAGGUUUCAACAUGAGCAAAUACAUACUCCAGUGCGUAAGAAAUCAAUCCGCUCUAAAAACCCAUUGACGGCAAGCAAAGUCAUGCAACAAAGGUAACGUAAUGAAAAGUAAUACUAAUUUGAAUGAACUGAUCACGAAUGCAUAUAAUCAUGAUUGAAAUUAUGAAAGGACAAAGAAAGGGAACCAAUUUUAAAGUAGGGGAUUCUAAAGAAAAAUAAAAAUGUAUUACUCUAAUGACCAUAAGUGGAUUAAAGAGGAAAAAUAUUUUAAAAAAGGAACUAACCUUGUUAUUGAUGAAUUUGUUGAUUGAGAUGCUAAGGUAUCACCAAAUUUGUAAUGUGAAAGUAUUUGUUUCAAGGUUGACCGAAUCAGAGACAUAUCUAUUAAGAGCUAUUCAGAUGUAAACAAACACUGCCUAAGACCACUAAAAACUCCUCUGAAAAUCAUGAGGGAAUAUGGCACACUAAAAAUGACAAUUGCUUAAAGUAAAGCCAGAGUUUGAUUUCCAUUUAUCGUUGCGUUCAUGAGAGCCUCUACAUAACUUAAACCCUAGUCAAAACACAAACCUAAAAUAAAUUGACUAACAAAAUACAAAAUAAACCCACAAAUUCACAAUUAAGGAGGAAAUAAUCAAGAAAAGUGAGGCAUAGUUUCGUUUCAAUUAUCAUUAUGGUCAUGCUUAAACCAAAAACAUACAUGAACAUAAUUGAGUUAGGGCACCUGCAACCUACAUGGAUUGUAUUACCCCGACCCUGUUGUUCCCUGAGGUAGAGUUGUUCCUGUGCCCAACCCUGACAAAUCAUAAGCAGCCUACUCCUAGAACGUAAAUUGGUCUAGUAAUCAUGGGCAAUAUCUAUCUAGCAAUAGAGCUAGAAUAAACUCUUUUCCAUUCUAAACUUUGAAAAUAAAAAAUAUAUAAUUUAUGCUUUUAAGAUAAUGCUUACUAAUAUCGUUUUUGAAUUGCUUUAAAAUUAUCAUUUUUAAUAUUGUUUAUGCUUCUAUGACUAUGCCACUGCUAUCUCACACUGUUAUCCCACACUAUCUGUUCAAGGCUUUGUUUAACUCUAUACUUGAAGUUGGUUAAAUACUCCCUCCAUUUAAAAAAAAAGUCGCAUCGCAAAAUUUUUAGGUAUUAAAGAUGUGCUUUUGUUUCAUGUUUUCUCCUAAAGAUAAUAAUAUGUUAGUUUAGUAGCAUUGACAUGAUAAUGAAAUUUUAAUGAUAAACUAUCUUUUUUUGUGUGCAAAUGGGACUCUUUUUAUGGAACCCAAUGAGUAUUAUUUAUGCUACUACGACUACAACACUGCUAUCUCACACCGUCUUUCAAGACAUUGUUUCACUCUAUACUUCAACUCUUGGGCACAAUAUCUUGCUCAGCUCUCUUCUCCAUAAAAUUAUCCGUCAUUCUUUUACAAAUUUACUAUGGAUUUUCAUCUCAAUUAUGUUGUUUUCCAAAGAAACAUUACCAUCGUAAUUUGUAUGGAUCCUCUACCUAAAGGUUACACAAUCAAUAAGGUGUACAAUGGAAAGGCUAAGGAUGAUAUAUCUUCCUUUUUAUACUUUUUUACUUUUUUCUUUCUUUCCCUUAAUUUUUGUUUAUAAAAUUAGUUGUAAAGCAACAAAUUGGAAUUUGAAUGUAGCACUAAUUCACUGAUCAAUGCAAAACAUAUAUAAGCAAAGACGGACUACAACACAACCAAACAAUCCUAAAAUCCACAAAUAUGUGACGAACAAUACUCUGAAUCAUAAUAAAUUGAUAAAAUAAACAGCAAGAUCUUUGUACUAAUAAAGAAACCUAAGAUCUAAGCUUUGUUGAUCAGACAAUUAAUUGUCUGAUCUACUGAAGAAAAUUACUAAAAACUGAAAAGAUUAAAGUUUAUUAGAACAAACAUUACAAUACAUACGUACAUAUAAAGAGAGAGAAUUGUCUUUCGCUAGUGAAAUUUAGCAGUGGCUCCGUAAAACUUUGAAUCGGAGGUCGAUCUCGUCGUCAAUCCUGUGGGAUAGAGGUAGAUAGAGCAACAAAAUCAAUGCAAAAUAUAUAUAAGCAAAGACUUGACUACAACACAACCAAACAAUCCAAAAAUCCAAAAAUAUGUGACAAACAAUAACAUAUAAAUCUGAAUCAUAAUAAAUUGACAAAUAAACAGUAAGAUCUUUGUACCAAUAAAGAAACCUAUGAUCUAACCUUUGUUGAUCAGACAAUUAAUUGUCUGAUCUACUGAAGAAAAUUACUAAAAACUGAAAAGAUUAAAGUUUAUUGGAACAAACAUUACAAUACAUAUGUAUAUAUAAAGAGAGAAUUGCCUUUUGCCAGUAAAAUUUAGCAGUGGCUCCGUAAAACUUUGAAUCGGAGGUCGAUCUCAUCGUCAAUCCCGCGGGAUAGAGGUAGAUAGAGCAACAAAAUUGGGAUGAAUUCUGGGUUGUUCAACUGUUUGAUCGAUCGAAUCUUCAACUAAAAGCAGAAAUUGUAAAAAGGUGUGGAAGAUUCAGGAACAAAGCGAAUAUAUAAUGGUAGAGAAAUUAAAAGUAUAACGGAUCAAUUUCUAAUUAACCGAGUAAACUUGAAAUUGAAAGGCACUUGUUUUUCAAAUUAAGUGAGUUGACUCACCCGUUUUUCAAAUUAAAUGGAUCGGUCUUAUUGCCUUUAUAAAUAAGAAUUGAUGUGCAGUUAUGAACACUUAUUUGUUCAUUUAUUUAUUGAGAGACCAUGUAGAUGUUUAAUAUUAUGUUUUGAAAUACGAAAAACAGAGGGAAAAAAAAGGAAAGGGAUAUGAAAAUGACAAGUACAGAAAAUCAAGAACUAUUGAAAGAUUCAUGACACUUGAUCAUUUCUUACCUUUUUCAUUUUUCAUCAUUUUUCAUAAUUUAGAGUAGGCGCCUAAUGUAAUUAUUUUUUGGAGGAUCCUCGUAUAGAUUUUUUGUUUUUUUUUGCUUGGGAGAUACAAGUGCUUUUAUUUCCACUGUGUACGUGGGUUUGCCCUCUUUUUGGUGCUUUUAUUAAAAUUAUGUACUUUUCAAACAAUAAUAAUAAUUGGAGAAGGCGAAAACAUGUUUUAUUGGAUUUACUGGAGUUCAUGAAUAAUUACAUCAAUAUGUUAUGUGAUCAUGUACUCUGAAAUUCUUGUGUAUUUUGUUUCCAUAUAGACUUCUGAAUUCCUUCAAACAAAUGAAACUAAGAACAAAUUGCUCAAUAUUCAUUGUUUUAGAACCGAAAAACCAUUGUUGAUUGAUUUUUCUACCACCAGAUUUUACUUUUUGUUGGUAAAUAUAGUUCUAUUGAUGGUUUGCAGUUAUAUAUGCUGAAUACCUUUUUGUUCUUUUCAAUCAUCCAUAUAAAUGGUAAAUUAGUUGAAAUAGACUGGCUGUAAGCUAUGUAAGCAAUAUAAACCCUUGUCUCAGUUUGGCAAGUGAUUCGUCAUAGACAACCUCUUUAUUUAUUUGUUUUGAAUUUCCUUCUUAUUUUCUUUCAUCUUUACGAGGACUUUAAAUUUGAUUAUAGUUUUCUUUCGGAUUCAUUAGGCUGUUCUCAUGAUUUUAAUUUUGAUGCAAGUGUUGAUGUCUCUAAUAGCUUUGUGUGGCAUUCUGGAAUUUGGUAUUUAAUUUGAUCAAGUGGGAAACAAAUGUUGAUUUCUGUUUUCUACUUUGUUGGGAAAAGCCUGGCUAUGCGAUGUGGUGUUAAUGGUUGCUCUGCUACGACUUUGUGGGGGUUCUGAAAUUGCUUUCAGUGUUCUUAGUCUCUUUGCUUCUUUAUUUAUAGAAGGACAAAAGCAACCAUUUAAAGAUGAAUAGUGUGUAUCCUAGGUCUAUUGCAUUUUGAGAUCCAGUUAUUUGAGAGUUGCCCAACGUAUUGAUUCCUAAUGGAGCAUAUUUUUCCUUAGGAGGUAGGAUUACUUUGAUUCAAGCUUGUUUAACUAGUCUCUCGUUGUAUUAUUUGUCUCUGUUUAGGAUCCCAGCUAGUGUUGCACAUUCCUUAGAGAAGUUGAUGAGCAAUUUUCUUUGGUCAGGGGUAGUGGAGGAGAAAAGGGAUCAUUAGGUAGGAUGGAAGGUGUAUUUGUCAAAGCAAGAUGGAGACUUGGGGUUGGGUAACUUAGUCCUUAAAAAUGUCACGUGGGUAAGUGGUGAUGCAGGAUAGAUCUAGGAUGAAGAAUUAACGAAAAAUAAACUAGACGUUUAGACCGUUAGGAUCUCUCAAGUGUAUCCACUCUACGUAUCAACACCAAGAUAGAUAAAAUACCUCUACGAUAGGAUACCUUUACGAUAUGAAUGAAAUAAUUAAUUUCAAUAUCAAUAUUCUGUAAUCUAAAUAACUUGCGAGGAUUACAUCACUAUUUAAAAGACUCAAACUCUAAUAUUAUUUGGGAGAAGGCAAAAAACACCUUUACCCGCUUGUGGUCGUUGACUUGUAAGCAAUUGGCCACUGAACUUUAAAAAUAUGCAAUUGGACCACUGUGCUUUCUAAAAAUGAAAAUUCAGGCCAUUCCGUCCAAUCGACGGACGUCAAAUAAUUACACACGUGACAUUGAGAAAAAAUCAAAAAAUUAUUAUUUUCUUAUGUGGCAAUACAAAAAAAAACCAAAAAUAAAAUCAUUGAUUAUGUGGCAAAAAACGAUUAAAAUAAUAAUAAAUUUAAAAUAAAUAAUAAUUAAUUCGUUUUAAAAUAAUUAAUUUUUAAAUAAAAUAAUUACUUUUAAAAAUAAAAAUAAAAAAAGUAAUUUUAAAAUAAUUAAUCAUUAACUUGUAAAAAAAUCAUUUUUGCCACAUUAAAAAAAUUUUGUUUUUGUUUUUAAAAAAUUAUGUUUUUAAAAACAAAAAUAGAUUUUUUUUAACUUUGUAAAAUAAAAUUCUGUUUUUAAAAAAAUGCUGUUUUUUUUAAAAAAAUAGAUUUUUUUUAUGUGGCAAAAAAUGCUGUUUUUAAACCGGAAUGAUUAAUAAUUAAUUUUAAAAAUAAAAAUAAAAUAAUCAUUUUACAAGUUAAUAAUUAAUUAUUAAUUCCAAAUAUUUAUAUUAAUUUUAUUAUUUUAUUUUAAAAUUAAUUAAUUUAUUUUUAUUUUUAAAAUUAAUUUUUUUAUUUUUAUUUUUAAAAUUAAUUAAUUUAUUUUUAUUUUUAAAAUUAAUUUUUUUAUUUUUAUUUUUAAAAUUAAUUAUUAUAUUUAAAAAUUAAUUAUUUUGAAAUGAAUUAAUUAUUAUUUAUUUUAAUUUUAUUAUUAUUUUAAUCAUUUUUUGCCACAUAAUCAAUGAUUUUAUUUUUGAUUUUUUUUGUAUUGCCACAUAAGAAAAUAAUAAAUUUUUAUUUUUUUUCCAAUGCCACGUGUGAUUAUUUGACGUCCGUCCAAGAAAUUGGACGGAAUGACCUGAAUUUUUAUUUUUAGAAAGCACAGUGGUCCAAUUGCAUAUUUUUAAAGUUUAGUGGCCAAUUGCUUACAUGUCAACGACCAUAGGCGGGUAAAGAUGCUUUUUGCCAUUUGGAGAAUAAUAAAAUACUAAACGACUUAAAUACCCUUAUUAAUAAUUCCUAAUCACUAAUUAAUAUCCUAAUCCCCACUAAUAAAUAAAAUAUAUAAAUCACAUCAACUUUUAUAUUAAACAUAAUAAAAACUCCAAAAUUAAUAAAUAUAAAAAUUCUCUUCUUUGUUCUUGACUGGAGUUCCCAUCAUUCUCCUCUUGUUGGAGAAAACUCGACCUCGAGUUCUAUAAUAUGAGAGAAUAAGCAAUGAACUCCUCUGCAAUGGAAGAACAUUUUGGAACACCUUUGGCAACAUCACCACGAGGUAAGACUCAAAAAUUUUUGGAAAGAGAAUUGAUGACAGCAUCGCUUUCGUAUUCAAAGGUGCUGAAAAUCAGCUUUCUGGAGCAUCGAAGUUAACAAUGUCAACUUGGAUUGGAUCAACUUCUCGAAUCGUCCUUUCCUCGUUAACGAACAACUCAAAAGCAACAUUAGAUGUUUCCUCAAUUUGUUCAUCAUACAUAAUCUCUGGUUUAACUUUUGGAACUUCAAGAAUUUCCAUAGAUACGUCACAACUGUGUAGCCCCAAAAUUUGGAACAUCCACUUUUUCUUUCUCUUGCUCUGCUUGAAGAUGUGCCCGCAAUUUAAUAAUGCCUUCUUUUAUGGAAGAUAUGUCAUUUUUUAAUAAAGAACAUAUAGAAAUCACUCUGUGUAGCUGAUGUGAUAAAAAUAUAUAACUGCAAGUGCACAGUAUCGAAUUGAAGAACUGGCAAGUAUAGGUCGAACCCACAGAGACUAGAUUAAUUUUAAUGUAUCCUUAAUAUCAAUUUUAGGUGAAUUAGAAAUAAAGAUUGAGAAUUAAUUAACUAUAAUUAAACUAACUAAUAACAAGGAAGUAAUCUAGGAAUCCGAAUCCAUUAAACAAUAAACAUAACAAACAAUCCAAUCUUAUCUAUUUUUAUAACUUAACUAUGAUUUUGAUCUCCCUUCCCUUUAAUUUAGUAAUUUUACAAUUAACGUGGGCAAGCGUAGACUAUGAAAAUUUAAGGAUUAAUUAUAACCUAUCAAAACUUCUUCGAGCAAGAAUGAAUUAUGAAAAACUCAUUAUCUUAACAAUAAUUUAUCAAAAUCUCUUAAUUAAUUUAAAAUCAUAUAAGAGUUAUAAAAUGAUGAUAUUUCAAUAACGAAACAUGAAUGCGAAAUUAAUUAAACAUAGAAGCAUAAAUAAUAUAAGAUAUGAAAAAUAUUAUCAUGAAUAGUUAUUUAAUUUCAUCUUCACCCUAGAUAUAAAAAAAUUUAGCUAGACAUGAAAAAUAAAUUAACUAACUAAAAUAAAGAAGAAAUAGAAAUAAAAUAAGAAAACUCCUUUUAAUUAACGAUCAUCCAACAAGUGUACAAUGAAAAAGUAAUUUAAUCUACUCUUAAUCUAAACUAAUCUAAUACAAUACAAUACUCCCCAAUACUCUCCAUUCUUUCUAAAACAAGAGACCUAUUUAUAGGGAAAAUAAAGACCAAAAGACAAUUUGCACCCCAAACUUUACACCCAUGUUGACUUUAGCACCCCAAACCGAAAAAAGUGUCUAAGUACACCCCAAACUUCAAUUAAACGUAACAAAAUACACACUUUCCUAACUUAACCGGUCAAAAGUGACCGGCUACGGUACACGUGGAUCUGAAAGGGUAUUUAAGUCUUUUCCAUAUCUUCUUCAUCAUUAGUUAAUUCCUCCCCUGUUUCUUCACUAAACCGAACUAAACCAAUUUCCUCUGUUUCUCCGGUUUAAGUCAAUUGCUACCAAUUUCAGCCACAAUCAUCCCACCCAAUGAAACACAAUCUUCUUCUUUGUGUUGGAUCUGAAAAGGGGCAUAUGAAUGAAACACAACAACCACCACAAAAACACCGCAUCACAACCUUUCAUCAACACUGCAACACCACCUCUUCCCACAAUUCCACAAUUAGUGGCUAAGAAGAUAAUUACUCUUUGAUUUCUCUACACCAAGAAAAAGAGAGAUACAAAUAGUAGAAAAGCUGGCGGUGCUGGCCAGAUUCGCGGUGCUUCUGGGAGCCAUGAUCGCCGCCCUUAUCUAUUCUCCUCCUGAUUACUCUUCCAAAAAGCGGCAGCAGCCUUCUUCAUCUCCCUCCAAUGGUUCGUUUCGUAAUUUGACCUUUCUCUUUCAUUUUAUGUAAUUAAUUUGAUUAGUGCUUCUUUGCGUGUUAUUUUGCUGGCAAAUUAUAGUGUUGCGCUACAAGUUUUCUAGAUCUAGGGCUAGAUUGUUGUAUUUGCAUCUGUAAUUCGUAGUUUUGAAUUUUGAUUGAAGUGGUUAUGGACAUGUAAAAUUAUGUGCUGAGCUUGUUUGUUGAAGAGUGAAGUUGGACAGGGACCAGGCUAGAAUUGCAUUCAUUUAGAUUUGAAACAACACUACGAUAAGUCAAUGAAAGGGAGGUUUUUUUCUUAUGCUCCAAUUCCACACAAGCCUUGCAUUUCUUUUGUACCGUAGUGCUCAUCAGAUUUAGCCCACCAGGGUCUCUUCUUCUUCGAGGGUGAAGAGGCUGGAGUGAGGGGAGGAGAGAGAGAGGAGGGCAGAGGAGAGGAGAGGAUGGUUGAGGUGGAGAAGUCGAAGGGGGUGGUGUAUGGGUGAGUUGACUCAAUGUAGGAGUCAGAGAGAGAGAAAGCAGUGGAUUGUGUGAAAUAAAUAUAAACUACCAAACUUACCCCUCUGUAAUAAACAUUACAGCUUUAGCCGGUCACUUUUGACCGGUUAAUUGAGUAAAGUGUGUAUUUUAUUAUGUUUAAUUGAAGUUUGGGGUGUACUUAGAUACCUUUUUCGGUUUGGGGUGCAAAAGUCAACACGAGUGUAAAGUUUGGGGUGCAAAUUGUCUUUUAGUUGAAAAUAAAUUGUCCUAAUUUAGAUUCAUUGAAUAUGGUCUCUUUUGUUCCCUUUUAUCCUUUUCGUUCCUUAUUGGCUUCAAUCUCUACAUGGUAAUAUCCCAAGAAUCCUUUUCCAUCUUUAAAAUCUAGACUAAAAGACAAAUUGCAUCCCAAACUUUACACCCAUGUUGACUUUUGCACCCCAAACUGAAAAAGUGUCUAAGUACACCCCAAAUUUCAAUUACACCUAACAAAAAGCACACUUUCUUCACUUAAUCGGUCAAAAGUGACCGGCUAAGACUGUAAUGUUUAUUACAUAGGGGUAAACUUGGUACUUUACAUUUAUUUUACACAAUCCCCCUUCUCUCUCUUUGUUAAAUCCACUCCUACACUGAGUCAACUCACACAUACCCGAACCACCGGAAAGCCAGCUCCGCCGCCACACCAACACCGUCCAUCGCCUCCCUAUCCACCACCAAAACCGGGUCCACCACCUGGUGCAGCAACCCCAUCUGUAUUUUAGGAACCACCAAAUCAGCCAACGCCAUCUCCCUUUUCUCUCUCCUCUGGUCCACAACUCUCAUCCCGUUAUCAGCUCCAACAAAAUUACCCCAAAACUAUAAACGUCACUCUUCUCCGUUAGACUAAAUGACCGAUAAUAGUCCGGAUCCAAAUAUCUCGGCGUCCCCUGUGGUCCCGUCCAUACACAAUCAGAACUCACCAUUGUGGUGGUUGUAAUUUCUUGGCAAAUCAGCAGCCUGGAAAGUCCAAAAUCUCCAACUUUCACUCAUAUCUCUCUCCACAAAAAUAUUUGAAGAUGUUACAUCCCUAUGGACAAUUGACGGCAUCACUGAGAAAUGUAGGCAUUCAAUCGCCAAUGCUGUUUGCAGUGCUAUUUCAACUCUAAUGCCCCAAGUUAAUGACCCUUUUUUGUACAAACUUUUUGUGCCAUGGAGAUGGUCGGCUAGAGUGCCAUUGGGGACAUAAUCAUAGACUAAUAGUAACCCCCUUGGGUCGCUACAAUACCCAUGAAGCUUGACUAGAUUUGGGUGGUUAAUUGAAGAGAGAAUCAAGAUUUCAUUGCAAAAUGACUUGGCAGAAAAGGCUUUGGAGCUUGUUGGGUGCUGCUUGUGAAGGUGUUUUACUACGACAAUGCGACCAUCUUGGAGUUGUCCUAGAAAGACUGACCCGAACCCACCGUCCCCAAUUUUGCGUUUUGGGUCGAAAUGAUUGGUGGAGGAGUCAAGUUCCUCGUAGGUGAAUACAGGUUGGAGCACGCAGAUAAAAACAAAAAUGAAGGAGAAAACUGCGACCCAAUUGGGGGUAAAGGUUUCUUGGCGAAUUAGGGGUUGUGAGAAUCGAGGUGUGGAUUUGAAACAAAUAAAAUGUUUGUUUGGGUCAGUUGAAUUGAACCCACAAACUCCAUUGCAGGCCUGGGAAGUCUUGCAAGUAGAAAAGUAACUAUCUCGGUCUUUAUCUUCAUCCCAAUCGACCUCAAUGCCCAAUUUCAAGAAAUUGUCAAGAUAUCCCAAAACGUCAGCUUGGCAGCCCUGUUGAGAGACUUAGUGGCGCGUAGAUCCACAAUCGUGUACAAUUUGAAGUAGGUUUUUAAUGAGCUUGCAUGCCCAUGAACAGUGAUUGCAGUUUGGGAGAUUUGGAGGGGGGCAGGGUCUGAGUUGGGAAAGGCGAGAGCAAGAUGAGUCAGAGACUCGAAAUGGAGACGCAGAGAGAUUGAUGGAGAGAUUGGGAAUGGAAAAGACAGAGUUUUUAGGAGAAAUGCAAUUAUGCUGCUGAUGAAGAGAAGUGGUGGGAGGUUGAGCGGAGAGAAGCAAAGAGGUGGAGUUGGGUUCAAAAUGGAGGAGAGAGUAAGGAUGAUGAUGAAUUGGAGAAGAUAACAACGAAAAGACUUAAACACCCUUCAGAUCCACACGUGUCUUAGCCAGUCACUUUUGACCGGUUAAGUGAAGAAAAUGUGUUUUUUGUUAGGUGUAAUUGAAAUUUGGGGUGUAUUUAGACACUUUUUUCGGUUUGGGGUGCAAAAUACAACAUGAGUGUAAAGUUUGGGGUGCAAAUUGUCUUUUAGUCUAAAAUCUAGAAUAAUUAUCUUUUACUUAUUUAUCAAUAUAAAUAAGAUAAAUCCAAUAUUAUUCCAGCUCUUUCCUUUUUGUUGUAGGAUUCUUCUUGCCUCUUUCCUUUCAUGAAUAAGAGCAUUAAAUAUUGAUUGGUCACUAAGAUUUUAACUUUAUUACAACAAAUAUUAAAUCAUACAAAAUAAAAUAAAACAUAUUAAAUUAAUAAAAUAAUAUAAUUAAAAGGACAAAAUUAGGGAUAUUAAAAUGUAAGAAUUAUGUGUCUAUCGAAUACCACCAUACCUAGUUUUUGCUCGUCCUCGAGUAAAAUAAAAAGAAAACAAAAAUUAUACUACCCUAUUUUCGUAGGAAACACGAUUGCACUUGGCAUGUACAACAAGCCUUUAAACCCCAAGGUUACCCCAAGUGGACGAGUUGCGUCUCGUGAUGGUUUGCAGUGAAUAUACCCACAAUAUUCAAAAUUUAAAAUAAAAUCCUUUUGAGUUUAACUAAUUAUGAAAUCGAAAGAAAACUUCUAAAGCAAGAUUAAAUUCAAAAAUACACUCACCUUGUCAAAAAUAUUCUAUCUUUAUUCUAGACACCAUCCUUCAUAAAAUUAAUUUCAUGUGAUGUAACUUUUGGUAUGGAUUUACAAUCAAGUAAACUUAUAUUUCUUUUUCUUCUUUUUUCCCUUUUUUUCCAUUUCUUUUAUCUUUGAAUUUUUUUUGACUUGUGCAAUGUCUCAUUUUCUUUGGCUUUUUAGAGAUACCCAUGUAGCAAGCGUUGGACCAAUGACUCUCAAACCAGUUGUCUUUUAGAGCACUAGGUGUAAAGAUACCCCUGAGGAUUUACUAACUCUAGUAACAAAUGCCACAAAACUAGACUAGUUAAGCUGCUUAUAUCCAUCACACUUUUUAGCGUGAAUAUCGAUGCUUCCUGAUGCUUGGAUACCUAAUUAUUUCGUUCAAUGGACAUUGAAGCAGUUAUUUCUUUUUUUCUAACAUUUUUUUUGAAAUUGCUCAAAUCAUAGUUUAUAUCCAUAACUAAGGAGGUCUAGGAAAUUAAAAAUAGUUAGAAUUUUCAUUAGAAUUAUAUUUACAAUUGACAUCGAAAAUUGUACCUUGUAUGCGGGGCAUAUAUUCUGUAAGAAAAUGUGGUGAGAAAGAAAACAAAUGUACAUAUCUACGAAUUUCAUAAAUCCUAAAAAGUAUGUGGUUAUAAAUGAAUGAUACAAAUGGUUAAGUGAGUGUGGUCUUUCAUGAUUUUCAGGAGGUCUAGGAAAUUAAAAAUAGUCAGAAUUUUCAUCAGAAUUAUAUUUACAAUUGACAUCGGGAACACUUUCACUAACAUGUUCAAAAGGUGGAAGAAUUGGUUCAAAUACUUAUUCUAGUUUAGUUGACUUAUGUGUAGUGGCUCUCAACAUCUCAUUGACCUUAAGUAUUCAAAUUUAUCCCAAUUUUGGUCAAUGUGAUUUAAGAAAAAAUUAAUUGGAUCUUUUUAAAUCAAGAGUGUAUUUUCAAUUAUUUCUUGGGUCAUGGACAACUCUCGGAUCAUGUUUUACUUUAAUGUGUUGGUAGGUGAUUUUUUAGGAAUAAGUCUUUCAGGGUAUGGAGCUUUAGGCUUAUAGACUUUUUUCAACUGACUUAUUAAAUGUAACAUGAUCAAUUUUAGGCAUAGACUCAUAAUUUUUAGGCUUCUCAAAUUCGCUUGGCUCAAACUGUAUAGAAUUGAAUACAAAAUUUUUAUUUUCCUCGUCAUUUCCACAACCAGAUUUUCAUCAUUAACCUCAGAGCUACUAGAAAAUUCAUUCACCUCUUGUUCAUUUAUUUUGGUGCCUAAUCGACUUAUUUGAAUUUCUAGACGAGAUAUAGCUUGAUCCAUGCUAAAUUGAUUUUCCAUUAAAACUUCUAUAGUUUUCUCCAAGGCACUAAGUCUUUCCUCUCCUUCAUUUGAUAAUUGUUUGCCGAUUUCUAUAAAACAAUUUCACGCAAGUAUACACGAUCGAUUAUGAAAUAUAGGGCAAGAAGAGUAUCGUUCCCAUGAAGAGUGAAUAUAACUUCCAAUUCCUAAUUACUAACUAUGCAUCCACUUCAUUCUAUUUAGACAAAUUAAUUAAUAACUACUAAAUAAUCACUAAAAAUAAUGAAUAUGAAUUAUAUAAAUGAAAACAUUAAGGAAUUCAAUUUCCCCCGAUGAAUCAUAAAGAUAACCUUAUUAAUAUUGUAUUGAAUUGAUUACUUGGAAUUUCCAAUGAAAAAUCACUAAUAAUUAAUAUAAUUAUUUUCCAAAUAAUUACAUUGCACGCUUAUUAUUAUUAAUUCACUAUAUUCCUAUGAGAUUCAUUAAGAUUCAUUUUCUUGAUAUUGCUUGUGGCAUCUAUCCUGAAUGCUAAGAAGAAUUAAUAUUCACAAGUUGCUAUAGCUAGAUCUUAAUUUAGACUCCAUUUAUCAGAUUUCAUCUAAAUCCAUCCCAUAAAUUGUUGAUUAGGCAAUUAUAACAACCAUAACAAAAUAUAAUAAACAAUCCCAAUAUAAAUAAUCAAUUCAAUAGGUAAUAAAAAUAAAUAUUAAAUCAAAUCAUCAUCGGGUUCCAUUGAUUUCCUAAUUAAAGAAUUAGUUCAUAACUGAAAUUAAAAACAAUAAUAAAUCAUUCCCAACCAUUCUCAAAAUACAAAAAUUAAGACUUAGAGAAGAAAGAAGAAACUCUGUAAAAGUCUCUGCCUCCUUUUCCAGCUCUUUUCUCCUGCUGUUGAAAAUACUCUGGAAACCCUUAUUUUCCUACGUACUAUUCCCUCUCAUUACUCUGAAUAAUGAAUCCCCCCCUUAAUUUAGUCUUCUACUAAUAGUUUAUAACAAAAGUGUCCAACCAUGCAUGAAUGAGUGUGAACCAUUGCAAUGCAACCUUUUUAGGAGUUUGAGAACCUCCAAACUUCAAUAACAAUCCCAGCUAUAAUCAGAAAAAAAACAGCUCAUUUUCUAUCGGGCGCGUGGUCUCAUGCGCGCCUGUAAUUUACUCUAGUGCCGCGGCUUCCCUUAGUGCGCGCCGCGACUUCCCUUGCUUUCCGGCCGUGGCUCCAAGUCUCCUGUUUGGUCCUUUGAUUUCCUAGCUCUUCUUUGUCUUUAUGCCUUGUUUGGAAUGGUCAUGCCUCCACUCAAUUGAUCUUUAUUCUUGCAGCUAAGUCCAGGCUAAACAAUAUUUUGCAAUAUUCACACUAAAACUAGUAUCCAUUAUUAGCAUAAACGACUAAAAUGCAAUAAAAUAAUACUAAAGUCCUUAAGAACAAGCAAAAUAAUUCAGUUAAAACUACUCAAUUCAUAGAUAUAAAAUCUACUCAUCAAUAAUUCUUGUGGAUAUUGAGGUUCUGGAUCCGAAUAUGGAUAUGGAUAUGAACUUAGAUAAGGAUUUUCAUAAGUUUGGAAAAAAUUGAUUUACUUGGUGUGCAUUAAAAUUUUCAUAAGGUUCUUGAUGUCAAGCAAAAUUAUUAUUCCAAGUAUAAUAAGAGUUCAUUUUUCCACUAAUCACAAAACAAAUACUCAACUAACCUCGAAAGUCGCACAGAAAAAAUAUAAAUAAUAAAAUAAAAUAAAUAAAUAAAUCCUAAUUCUACAGUUAACCUAAAUAAAAUCUAGACAACUCCUAGUUGUUCCAAGGUGCACCGCAAGGUCUAUCAAAUUCGAAAUUAAUCACACCACUAGUCAGGUAAGUGUAAGAAAGGUGAUGAUAGACUCCACGACACGUUUGCGUGAGGUGGUCGUCGCCCGGCUCGUUUCUAGCACAGUUGAUAGAGUGGAACUCUCUCGACACCUCAACCCAACGUCUAUAUUGAGACGAGAACCUUGGUACAAUUGAUCAAGUAAUGAAGUUUGCAUUGAAUGGAACACUAACGACACCUAAACCCCGUGUUUAUAAUGAAACAGGAACCUCAGUACAAUUGACGAUUGAUGCGGUAGAAGACGCUACACACAACUAUGAAUUGUUGUAUGACAAGUUAAAUUGAAUCUCAAAGAAAAAUUAAGAAAAUAACUUGGGAAUUUUUCAAAGAACUAAAAGUUGAGAAUAAUUCUCACAUGAAAUUGAUGAAUCUUAAUAUUAUUGAAUCUUCUAUGUAUUACAUUCAUAAAGCAUAUUUAUACUAGCUAAGAAACCCUAGAAUCCAAUAAGGAAUCAAUAAUAUGAUUUGGAAUUAAAAUCCAGUAUUCUAAAUACAUUAAAAUUAUGAAAGAUAUGGAAAAUCCCUAAAAGAUAUGAAAGAAAUCUGGUAGAAGAAGAAAAUCUGGUCAAAAAUGCGUCGUCUCGAAAAAAAAACGUGCCUGAAGUUCUGUCGCCCUGGCGUGGGGCGCACUACUCUUACAAAAACUCAAACUCUCCGGCACGGGGCACACUGCUCUUUGCAGAGACUCUGAUGCUCUAGCACGGGCAACACUUGUUUCCGUAUUAAGCUGGCGCGGGGCGCGCAUGCUAGUAAAAAAACUCUUUUUCAAUUCUUGAGGCCCUUGACUUGGAUCAAACAUUUCUAUCAUAUUCAUGAGCUUAGACUCCAACUCCAAAGUCUUCAAACUUAUCCCUUCAUCACUCCAAGUUCCUUGAAUAAGUCCGUUAAGUCCUUUAAAACGUUUAGCUCGAGAUCUCGUCACGGGUCCCAUUGGCACCUGUACCGAAUCCGAUCCUUGGUUGCCAAUCAUUCUUGAGCUAGGGAUGUCCUCAUCAUUCCUCUCCUCUUAAGAAGGAUUUGUCCUCAAAUUAUCACCUACAUCAAACGGACUUAGAUCAGUAACAUUGAAUGUUGCACUAACAUUAUACUCACCAGGCAAAUUCAAUUUGUAAGCAUUGUCAUUAAUGCGCUUAAGAACUUGAAAUGGACCAUCUCCUCUAGGAAGCAAUUUAGAUCUCCUUUGAGCCAGAAAUCUUUCUUUCCGCAUAUGCAGCCAAACCCAAUCUCCAGGUUCAAAGAUCAUUUGACGCCGACCCUUAUUAGCUUGUUUCGUAUAUUGCUUCGUCCUCUCAAUGUUGAAUCUCGCCUUCUCAUGUAUCUGCUUAACAAAUUCAGACUUUUUCUUUCCAUCCAUGUUAGUAAAUUCAGAAAUAGAUAAUGACGAUAAAUCCAAUGGAGUUAAAGGAUUAAUAUCAUAAACAAUUUCAAAUGGUGAAACUUUAGUAGUAGAAUGAACUGAACGAUUAUAAGAAAACUCAACACGUGGUAAACAUUCUUCCCAAUGACUAAUAUUCUUUUUAAUGAUAGUCCUUAACAAAACAAACAAAGUUCUAUUUACUACUUUAGUUUGACCAUCAGUUUGUGGAUGACAAGUAGUAGAAAAUAACAGUUUAGUUCUCAAUUUACACCACAAAGUCUUCCAAAAAUAGCUAGAACUCUUAGCAUCUCGAUCAGAAAUAAUUGUUCUAGGCAUAUUAUGCAAACGUAGAACUUCCUUAAAGAAUAAAUCAACUAUAUGGGAUGUAUCAUCAGUUUUUGUGACAUGGAAUAAAAUGUCCCAUCUUUGAAAAUCUGUCCACAAUCACAAAUAUAGGGUUAUGACCAUGCUUAGACUUAGGUAAAAUCAACACAAAGUCUAUUGACAAAGUAAUUUCGUAUCAAGAGUAUUCAACAAUACAUACCUACGAGACAAAGCAUCUGCUACGACAUUCUCUUUACCUUGUUUAUAUCGAACAUAUGGGAAUGUCUCGAUAAAUUCCAUCCAUCGCGUAUUUCUCUUGUUCAACUUGUGCUGACCCUUCAAAUAUUUCAAUUACUCAUGAUCGGGGCCAAAGGUAAUUUUGCCACGUCUCCAAUGCUCUAACCAAUGCGUAUAACUUGUCGUAGGUAGGAUAGUUCAAGGCUGCCCCACUCAAUUUUUCACUGAAAUACGCCAUUGGUUUUCCUUCUUGUAUCAAAACAGCUCCUAUUCCCAAACUUGAAGCAUCACACUCAAUUUCAAAAGUUUUAGCAAAGUUAGGCAGAAUAAGUAAAGGCGCAUUAGUCAAUUUGUCUUUAAUCAAUUUAAAUGUCUUUUCCUGUUUCUCACCCCACUUAAAGCCCACACUUUUCUUGAUAACCUCAGUUAAUGGUGCUGUAAUUUCGUUGAAAUUCCGAACAAAGCGCCGAUAUAAACUUGCAAGUCCGUUUAAGCUUCGUACUUUGACUCAUAUUUGUCGGAGUCGACCAAUCUCGGAUUGCACGUAUUUUUCUCUCAUCAACUUGGACUCCCUAUGAACUCACAACAAAGCCAAGAAAAACAAUUCUAUCCGAACAAAACAUGCAUUUUCCCAUGUUAGCAAACAACUUUUCCAUUCUAAGUAUACAGAUUUUAAAUGCAUUGCAUGCUCUUCCAAGUUUUUUCUAUAAAUUAAGAUGUUAUCAAAAUAAACAACGACAAGUUUCCCUAUGAAUGGACGCAAUACAUAUUCAUUAGACGCAUGAAAGUGUUGGGUGCAUUAGUUAAACCAAAAGGUAACACUAACCACUUAUAAAGACUAUUUAGUUUUAAAUGAUGUUUUCCAUUCAUCACUUUCUUGCAAUUUUAUUUUGAUGAUAAAUCAAUUUUAGAAAAUAUACAUGAUCCAUAUUCAUAAUGCAAGUUGUAGCAUAAUUCAAGUCAAAAUGGAUAAUUUUAUUAUAGUUGUAAUUUUUUGAACUUGUACCAACUUCAAAUUAUAUAAAUGAUGAUACAUUUGUAAUAUUUAGUUUAAUUCAGUAUAAUUUUUAAAUUUAUGUUUAGUUUCUUAAGUUUUAAUAUUGAAUUGAAUUCUUGAAAUUUUAAAUUUUAUUAUUGAAUUGAAUUCUUGAAAUUUUAAAUUUUAUUAUUUAAUAGCAAUCUUGUUUAUGAAUAUAACUAAUACAUUAAAGAUAUGUUUGAACUUUGAACAAUUGUGUGCUUGUGUUUGAACUUUGAUAUUGGCAAUAUAGAUAUAUGUUUGAACUUUAAACAAAGACAUUUAUUAUCUUUAUUAUAGAUUGUUUUGCUUUAUAUUAUUGUUUUGUUUAGAUAAAUGUAAGAUAAAAUAUUAAAAUUGACUUAAAAUAAAAAAUCCCGCCUAGGCCUCCUAGGCGCUAGGCCCCUCCCGGCCUCCCACCUCCCGCCAAGCGCCUUUUAGAACAUUGCAAAAAACAUGCUUGGGAUUAGACUAUUUGUCUUAAUUUAAAACUAUUUCGGAUUAUUUAAUCAGUUGACGAGAGACUAUUAGUCCUUAAAUGUGUGGGACUAUUAGUUCAAUAAAGUCAUUUAAUAGCUUAAAAUGGAGGGACUAUUAAUAUCAUAUUUAUGAGGGAUUAUAUAAUCCCUCAUAAAUAGUCUUAUUAAUGACAAAAAAUAGUCCACAUGACUAUUUAAAUGACUAUUAAUCCCAUAUCAUGGAAUACAAUAGUUUGAAGUAUUAAAUUAAGACGAAUUAGUUCAAUCCCAAACAUGUUUUUUGCAAAUAAACAUAGCCUUGAUGCAUGUACGCUAAACUUAGAUUAUCCGACCAGUUGUUAAUCUAUCCUAUUUUCAUAAUUUUAAAAUUCCCCCGUGUGAAAUUCUAUCGACUUCUGUUAGCAAUUUAGGCACAUGAAGUAAUUAACAUCUAAUGUUAUUAAGUUUUUUUAUUUCUUCAGAGAAUACUUGAUCCAACAUUGGGUUUUAUUGACAGAGGCAAGGUUCUGAUACACGGUUCUUGUAAGAUAUCAUAACCAUUCAUCCCUACCUCGUAAUUGCUUAUGUUAAACUUUUUUCACGCAAGUUCUAUGUUAUUAUGCAUAAUACUAUGAAAUGUUUCUGUAGAUCCCGGUUGUAAUGGUGGUUGUAGGUAUAGUUUGCAUGGGCGAAUUGAACGUGCUAAUUUGAAACAUGUUUCAAAUAUUGAAAUUUGAGCAUUGAAGAAUUUGGUUUAAGCAUAUUGUUUUUUAAAGGCAGGUUAAAUCUAGAGUGAAUUGCUAACAUGAUUUAAACAUCCCUCGGAUGGUCACCAACCCCCUUUCUCCUUCUUUUUCUUAUUUGUAGUGUUAUUAUUUUCAUAUGUAGGCAUUCUGAAGACAAGUUGAGAAGACAAAGCUACCACUUAACAUUUUAAAGGGAGAAUAAAUUGCUGUAUUUCUGUUUUGAGGAAGUAGAUGACACUUGUUGUUGAAAUCCUUUUAUCUUUAAAAAAUUGAUGUUUUCAAAAGUAAAAUUUAAUAUUUUCAGAAGAUUUUUCUCGUAUUAAUGUGGGUUAUAUUUACUCUCUAUGUGAGAAGUCGUUAUGUGAGAGAGAUCUUGUAGAAUUAUGACUUGUGGAAAUAUUAAUUUUCUAUCACAUUAAUUUGACCUCCACUCAUUAUGUUUUACUUAAUUUAAGAAGUAAAACAAAUUUCUCAC